rnacentral:rRNA from 1 species
GAUUGAACGCUGGCGGCAUGCCUUACACAUGCAAGUCGAACGGCAACGGCGGGGGCAACCCUGGCGGCGAGUGGCGAACGGGUGAGUAAUAUAUCGGAACGUGCCCUAGAGUGGGGGAUAACUAGUCGAAAGAUUAGCUAAUACCGCAUACGAUCUACGGAUGAAAGGUGGGGGAUCGCAAGACCUCAUGCUCUGGGAGCGGCCGAUAUCUGAUUAGCUAGUUGGGAGGUAAGGCUCACCAAGGCGACGAUCAGUAGCUGGUCUGAGGAGGACGACCAGCCACACUGGGACUGAGACACGGCCCAGACUCCUACGGGAGGCAGCAGGUGGGGUAAUUUUGGACAAGUGGGGGCAACCCUGAUCCA